rnacentral:rRNA from 1 species
GGUUAAGCGACUAAGCGUACACGGUGGAUGCCCUGGCAGUCAGAGGCGAUGAAGGACGUGCUAAUCUGCGAAAAGCGUCGGUAAGGUGAUAUGAACCGUUAUAACCGGCGAUGUCCGAAUGGGGAAACCCAGUGCAAUUCGUUGCACUAUCGUUAACUGAAUACAUAGGUUAACGAGGCGAACCGGGGGAACUGAAACAUCUAAGUACCCCGAGGAAAAGAAAUCAACCGAGAUUCCCCCAGUAGCGGCGAGCGAACGGGGAGCAGCCCAGAGUCUGAAUCAGCUUGUGUGUUAGUGGAACGGUCUGGAAAGUCCGACGGUACAGGGUGAUAGUCCCGUACACCAAAAUGCACAGGCUGUGAACUCGAAGAGUAGGGCGGGACACGUGGUAUCCUGUCUGAAUAUGGGGGGACCAUCCUCCAAGGCUAAAUACUCCUGACUGACCGAUAGUGAACCAGUACCGUGAGGGAAAGGCGAAAAGAACCCCGGCGAGGGGAGUGAAAAAGAACCUGAAACCGUGUACGUACAAGCAGUGGGAGCACCUUCGGGUGUGACUGCGUACCUUUUGUAUAAUGGGUCAGCGACUUAUAUUCUGUAGCAAGGUUAACCGUAUAGGGGAGCCGCAGGGAAACCGAGUCUUAACUGGGCGUUAAGUUGCAGGGUAUAGACCCGAAACCCGGUGAUCUAGCCAUGGGCAGGUUGAAGGUUGGGUAACACUAACUGGAGGACCGAACCGACUAAUGUUGAAAAAUUAGCGGAUGACUUGUGGCUGGGGGUGAAAGGCCAAUCAAACCGGGAGAUAGCUGGUUCUCCCCGAAAGCUAUUUAGGUAGCGCCUCGUGAACUCAUCUUCGGGGGUAGAGCACUGUUUCGGCUAGGGGGUCAUCCCGACUUACCAACCCGAUGCAAACUACGAAUACCGAAGAAUGUUAUCACGGGAGACACACGGCGGGUGCUAACGUCCGUCGUGAAGAGGGAAACAACCCAGACCGCCAGCUAAGGUCCCAAAGUCAUGGUUAAGUGGGAAACGAUGUGGGAAGGCACAGACAGCCAGGAUGUUGGCUUAGAAGCAGCCAUCAUUUAAAGAAAGCGUAAUAGCUCACUGGUCGAGUCGGCCUGCGCGGAAGAUGUAACGGGGCUAAACCAUGCACCGAAGCUGCGGCAGCGACACUAUGUGUUGUUGGGUAGGGGAGCGUUCUGUAAGCCUGCGAAGGUGUGCUGUGAGGCAUGCUGGAGGUAUCAGAAGUGCGAAUGCUGACAUAAGUAACGAUAAAGCGGGUGAAAAGCCCGCUCGCCGGAAGACCAAGGGUUCCUGUCCAACGUUAAUCGGGGCAGGGUGAGUCGACCCCUAAGGCGAGGCCGAAAGGCGUAGUCGAUGGGAAACAGGUUAAUAUUCCUGUACUUGGUGUUACUGCGAAGGGGGGACGGAGAAGGCUAUGUUAGCCGGGCGACGGUUGUCCCGGUUUAAGCAUGUAGGCUGAUUGUCCAGGCAAAUCCGGAUAAUCAAGGCUGAGGUGUGAUGACGAGGCACUACGGUGCUGAAGUAACAAAUGCCCUGCUUCCAGGAAAAGCCUCUAAGCAUCAGGUAACAUUAAAUCGUACCCCAAACCGACACAGGUGGUCAGGUAGAGAAUACCAAGGCGCUUGAGAGAACUCGGGUGAAGGAACUAGGCAAAAUGGUGCCGUAACUUCGGGAGAAGGCACGCUGGUGUGUAGGUGAAGCCCCUGCGGGUGGAGCUGAGACCAGUCGAAGAUACCAGCUGGCUGCAACUGUUUAUUAAAAACACAGCACUGUGCAAACACGAAAGUGGACGUAUACGGUGUGACGCCUGCCCGGUGCCGGAAGGUUAAUUGAUGGGGUUAUCCGUAAGGAGAAGCUCUUGAUCGAAGCCCCGGUAAACGGCGGCCGUAACUAUAACGGUCCUAAGGUAGCGAAAUUCCUUGUCGGGUAAGUUCCGACCUGCACGAAUGGCGUAAUGAUGGCCAGGCUGUCUCCACCCGAGACUCAGUGAAAUUGAACUCGCUGUGAAGAUGCAGUGUACCCGCGGCAAGACGGAAAGACCCCGUGAACCUUUACUAUAGCUUGACACUGAACAUUGAGCCUUGAUGUGUAGGAUAGGUGGGAGGCUUUUGAAGCGUGGACGCCAGUCUGCGUGGAGCCAACCUUGAAAUACCACCCUUUAAUGUUUGAUGUUCUAACGUUGGCCCCUGACCGGGGUUGCGGACAGUGUCUGGUGGGUAGUUUGACUGGGGCGGUCUCCUCCCAAAGCGUAACGGAGGAGCACGAAGGUUAGCUAAUCCUGGUCGGACAUCAGGAGGUUAGUGCAAUGGCAUAAGCUAGCUUGACUGCGAGCGUGACGGCGCGAGCAGGUGCGAAAGCAGGUCAUAGUGAUCCGGUGGUUCUGAAUGGAAGGGCCAUCGCUCAACGGAUAAAAGGUACUCCGGGGAUAACAGGCUGAUACCGCCCAAGAGUUCAUAUCGACGGCGGUGUUUGGCACCUCGAUGUCGGCUCAUCACAUCCUGGGGCUGAAGUAGGUCCCAAGGGUAUGGCUGUUCGCCAUUUAAAGUGGUACGCGAGCUGGGUUUAGAACGUCGUGAGACAGUUCGGUCCCUAUCUGCCGUGGGCGCUGGAGAAUUGAGGGGGGCUGCUCCUAGUACGAGAGGACCGGAGUGGACGCAUCACUGGUGUUCGGGUUGUCAUGCCAAUGGCACUGCCCGGUAGCUAAAUGCGGAAGAGAUAAGUGCUGAAAGCAUCUAAGCACGAAACUUGCCCCGAGAUGAGUUCUCCCUGAGACUUUAAGUCUCCUGAAGGAACGUUGAAGACGACGACGUUGAUAGGCCGGGUGUGUAAGCGCAGCGAUGCGUUGAGCUAACCGGUACUAAUGAACCGUGAGGCUUAACCUU